CUUAUCGAUCACUUUGUUGCAGAUUUUUUUUUGUUGUGUGUGCCGUUCGUGAUGUUUAAAGUUAUCGGCGGGCUCACCCCUGCUCCGGGACUGGGGGCUGUAGCUUCGACUGGGCGGGGAGCCUCCACCAUUUCGCCGAGGCCCAGUUGGUCGGCCUGGAGCAGAGGACAAGACAACACAAAACUUCAACAGAGACACAAGAGAGACUGCAGAUGCUGGAAAUUUGGAGCAGCACACACACAAUGCUGGAGGAAAUCAGCAGAUGUACUGUGGAGAGCAUUCUGAUUGGUUGCAUCACCACCUGGUAUGGAGGCUCCAAUGUGCAGAAUCAAAAGAGGCUGCAGAGAGUUGUAGACUCAGCCAGCUCCAUCACAGGCACAACCCUCCCUGUCAUUGAGGACAGCUUCAAGAGGCAGUGACUCAAGAAGGUGGCAUCCAUCAUUAAGGACCCUCACCACCUGGGACAUGCCCUCUCUAUGUUACUACCAUCAGGGAGGAGGUACAGGAG